rnacentral:rRNA from 1 species
CCUACGUGAGGCAGCAGUGGGGAAUAUUGCACAAUGGGGGCACCCCUGAUGCAGCGACGCCGCGUGAAGGAAGAAGUAUUUCGGUAUGUAAACUUCUAUUAGCAGGGAAGAAAAUGACGAUACCUGACUAAGAAGCACCGGCUAACUACGUGCAAGCAGCCGCGGUAAUACGCAGGGGGCACGCGUUAUACGGAUUUAUUGGGUGUAAAGGGGGCGUAGGCGGUUUAGCAAGUUAGAAGUGAAAGCCCGGGGCUCAACUCCGGGACUGCUUUUGAUACUGUUGAACUAGAUUGUAGGAGAGGUAAGUGGAAUUCCUAGUGUAGCGGUGAAAUGCGUAGAGAUUAGGAGGAACACCAGUGGCGAAGGCGGCUUACUGGACUAUAAAUGACGCUGAGGCUCGAAAGCGUGGGGAGCAAACAGGAUUAGAUACCCUAGUAGUC